rnacentral:rRNA from 1 species
CCUACGGGAGGCAGCAGUGGGGAAUAUUGCACAAUGGGGGGAACCCUGAUGCAGCGACGCCGCGUGGGUGAAGGAGUAUUUCUGUAUGUAAAGCCCUAUCAGCAGGGAAGAACAAUGACGUUCCCUGACUCAGCAGCACCGGCUCAAUACGUGCCAGCAGCCGCGGUAAUACGAAUGGUGCAAGCGUUAUCCGUAUUUACUGGGUGUAAAGGGAGCGCAGGCGGCGCGUUAAGCCUGGUGUGAAAGCCCGCGGCCCAACCGCGGGACUGCAUGGGGAACUGGCGAGCUGUGGUGCAGGAGGGGUAGGCGGAAUUCCUAGUGUAGCGGUGAAAUGCGUAGAUAUUAGGAGGAACACCAGUGGCGAAGGCGGCCUACUGGACGGUGACUGACGCUGAGGCUCGAAAGCGUGGGGAGCAAACAGGAUUAGAUACCCCUGUAGUC